UCCGUAGGCGGUGCGGCAAGUCGGAAGUGAAAUCUCAGGGCUUAACCCUGAGGCUGCUUCCGAAACUGCCGUGCUGGAGUGCGAGAGAGGCGAGUGGAAUUGCAGGUGUAGCGGUGAAAUGCGUAGAUAUCUGCAGGAACAUCCGAGGCGAAAGCGGCUCGCUGGAUCGCAACUGACGCUGAGGGACGAAAGCUAGGGGAGCAAACAGGAUUAGAUACCCUGGUAGUCCUAGCCCUAAACGAUCAGGACUGGGCGUGGGCCUCGUACGGGGCUCGUGCCGCAGCUAACGCGUUAAGUCCUGCGCCUGGGGAGUACGGUCGCAAGGCUGAAA
rnacentral:rRNA from 1 species